AUACUCUGGUCUCUCUUCAAACUGAAUAAAUCUUUUGCCUUUUACUAAAGAAUUCCUUGGAGAGGGACGGUUAUGAGUUGGUAACCAAAUUUUUUGAGGUCUUGCUUAGGCAAGGCU
rnacentral:snRNA from 1 species